CAGUCGCCACGGGAAUACGAAGGGGGCUAGCGUUGUUCGGAUUUACUGGGCGUAAAGCGCACGUAGGCGGAUCCUUAAGUCAGAGGUGAAAUCCCAAGGCUCAACCUUGGAACUGCCUUUGAUACUGGGGAUCUCGAGUCCGGGAGAGGUGAGUGGAACUGCGAGUGUAGAGGUGAAAUUCGUAGAUAUUCGCAAGAACACCAGUGGCGAAGGCGGCUCACUGGCCCGGUACUGACGCUGAGGUGCGAAAGCGUGGGGAGCAAACAGGAUUAGAUACCCCAGUAGUCCCUGUCUCUUAUAC
rnacentral:rRNA from 1 species